CUACGGGAUGCUGCAGUGAGGAAUAUUGCACAAUGGGGGGAACCCUGAUGCAGCAACGCCGCGUGGAGGAUGACGCAUUUCGGUGUGUAAACUCCUUUUAUAUGUCAAGAAAAUGACGGUAGCAUAUGAAUAAGCACCGGCUAACUCCGUGCCAGCAGCCGCGGUAAUACGGAGGGUGCAAGCGUUACUCGGAAUCACUGGGCGUAAAGGACGCGUAGGCGGGUUGGAAAGUCAGGUGUGAAAUCCUACAGCUUAACUGUAGAACUGCACUUGAAACUUCUAAUCUAGAGUAUGGGAGGGGGAGAUGGAAUUAGUGGUGUAGGGGUAAAAUCCGUAGAUAUCACUGGGAAUACCUAAAGCGAAGGCGAUCUCCUGGAACAUUACCGACGCUAAGGCGUGAAAGCGUGGGGAGCAAACAGGAUUAGAUACCCCGGUAGUC
rnacentral:rRNA from 1 species